ACCUUCCUGGUUGAGCAUGUGUCACACUCACCCUGAUCAGCUCUUCCCUCAGGGAGUUCCUCACUUGCUGCCUCAAAGCCCACAUUGCUUCUUCUGUCUUCAUUCAUGCCUGCUGGGCCCGCGGUUGAUAUAAUAUGACACCUGCCACUAAGACCUCUCUGAAUUCUAGAUCCAGUCAGUCAGUGCAUGCUUGGCAGGCUUGUGGCACCUCCCAGAAGCUCCCAGUGAGUGAAAAGCCCUCCUGAUCUUGUCUCCUCACCUGGGACAACCAGGGUCAGUGAGUAGCACAACCAUCCAUGCAGGCCUGGAAAACACCUCCUCGGGCUGCUACCCGACCCAGUCCUUACACAGACCUAUCAGCUCUUCUAUUCAGACCCUGGAUGCUGCCUUCCUCCUCAAUGGUAUACACACGACACGGUUAGGGGAGAACUAUAAAGUUGUAGGUACUUGGUUGAAUGUGGAAAAUGGAAAGAAACUAAAUCAUCCCGUGAAGCGGUCAUAUGUUGUAUAAUGGCAUUUUGGUUU
rnacentral:lncRNA from 1 species